UACGUAUGGAGCAAGCGUUAUCCGGAUUUACUGGGUGUAAAGGGAGUGUAGGUGGCCAUGCAAGUCAGAAGUGAAAAUCCGGGGCUCAACCCUGGAACUGCUUUUGAAACUGUGAGGCUAGAGUGCAGGAGGGGUGAGUGGAAUUCCUAGUGUAGCGGUGAAAUGCGUAGAUAUUAGGAGGAACACCAGUGGCGAAGGCGGCUCACUGGACUGUAACUGACACUGAGGCUCGAAAGCGUGGGGAGCAAACAGG
rnacentral:rRNA from 1 species